rnacentral:tRNA from 1 species
UCUUCUGUAGCUCAGUUGGUAGAGCAUGGCGCUUGCACCGCCAGGGUUGUGGGUUUGAUUCCCAGUAGAG